UCGCCGUUCGGUUCCGGUUCUAACCCCGCCCUCACGCGGGAACCCUCCAGAAGUCUUAAUAUCCGGGACCAGAGGCUGGCGCCAGCGCGCACUUCCGGCGACAGACACAGAGGAAAGAACCUGGUGACGCUUCUUCCCUUCUACCAUGCCUCCCAGGCUCCGGCUCUCGGUGCGGCAGCGCCAUCUGGUGUUGAAUCUCUCGCUGCUCGCAGAGGGGGCACGCGCCUUUCUCCCGGAACCUUCCAGAGAAAAUGUGACCUAGCCUUUCGUCACUCGCCCUCGCAAAGGGAGAGACCCGAGGUUUCGCCCUGCCGAGUUCUCACGUAGGAGGGACACAGGAAGAAGAAAACCUUCUAUGAACAUAGAAGAGAGCCCUCACCAAGAACCAAACCUGCUGAUGCCUUGAUCUUGGACUUCCAGCCUCCAGAACUACACUGAUUCUUGAUUAACUGAUUUGCAUUAAGUAUGACAAGUGUGUGCAGCAC